UCGCAAGCAGUAGUGGCCGAGUGGUUAAGGUGAUAGACCAGAAAUUUAUUGGGAUCUUCCCGCGUAGGCUGGAAUCCUACGAUUGCGAA
rnacentral:tRNA from 1 species